GAUUUUCCAUUAUAUGUUUACCUCCACGCGGUGAAAAUCGGGCAACGUCAAAUAAAUUGGCGGCAAAAGAACGU
rfam:Camponotus floridanus CamFlo_1.0_4.contig2489, whole genome shotgun sequence.